CCUUGUACACACCGCCCGUCACACCAUGGGAGUUGGUUCUACCCGAAGGCGAUGCGCUAACCGCAAGGAGGGCGAUUACCACGGCAGGGUUCGUGACUGGGGUG
rnacentral:rRNA from 1 species